AUUGAACGCUGGCGGCAUGCUUUACACAUGCAAGUCGAACGGUAACAGGCCGCAAGGUGCUGACGAGUGGCGAACGGGUGAGUAAUGCAUCGGAACGUGCCCAGUCGUGGGGGAUAACGCAGCGAAAGCUGCGCUAAUACCGCAUACGCUCUAUGGAUGAAAGCGGGGGACCGUAAGGCCUCGCGCGAUUGGAGCGGCCGAUGUCAGAUUAGGUAGUUGGUGGGGUAAAGGCUCACCAAGCCAACGAUCUGUAGCUGGUCUGAGAGGACGACCAGCCACACUGGGACUGAGAGACAGCCCAGACUCCUACGGGAGGCAGUAGUGGGGAAUUUUGGACAAUGGGCGAAAGCCUGAUCCAGCAAGGCCGCGUGCAGGAAGCAGGCCUUCGGGUCGUAAACUGCUUUUGUACGGAACGAAAAGGCUCUGGAUAAUACCUGGGGCUCAUGACGGUACCGUAAGAAUAAGCACCGGCUAACUACGUGCCAGCCGCCGCCGUAAAAC
rnacentral:rRNA from 1 species